CCGAAACUUGAACUGGCGCUUGACGCCUGACGCCUCGCCCUUGGAGGUUCGCCCUUCGCCGGAGCUUCACCUCUUCACACACAGCGCCAAAAUGAAUAAAGCUCAUAGGACUGUAGAUCUUAACAUCCCUAUGAGGGAGAGGACAAAGGAAACCACUCUGUCUAAGAAAAGCAGACACUAAGAUGCAGCACAGAAGAGGUCAUGCACCCUUCCUGGGGGCAGCCUACAUCCAGUGACAGAUCAAUGCAAGAAUAAAAGUUCCGUCCACUCAGUGCAUCAGAGAAGGGCUAUGCCAGUUCCAGAGUCCCCUGGGAUCAGCUGAAGCCUUUGUUGAGACCGGGCCACAGGUCCACUUCCUCCUCAGCUCAAUCCUGCUGCCUCUAUUCCUCUAUAGGUGUGGAGUCCAAGAGC
rnacentral:lncRNA from 1 species